rnacentral:rRNA from 1 species
CACUGCCGAGAAAAGCCUCUAGAUAGAAAAUAGGUGCCCGUACCGCAAACCGACACAGGUAGUCAAGAUGAGAAUUCUAAGGUGAGCGAGCGAACUCUCGUUAAGGAACUCGGCAAAAUGACCCCGUAACUUCGGGAGAAGGGGUGCUCUUUAGGGUUAACGCCCAGAAGAGCCGCAGUGAAUAGGCCCAAGCGACUGUUUAUCAAAAACACAGGUCUCUGCUAAACCGUAAGGUGAUGUAUAGGGGCUGACGCCUGCCCGGUGCUGGAAGGUUAAGAGGAGUGGUUAGCUUCUGCGAAGCUACGAAUCGAAGCCCCAGUAAACGGCGGCCGUAACUAUAACGGUCCUAAGGUAGCGAAAUUCCUUGUCGGGUAAGUUCCGACCCGCACGAAAGGCGUAACGAUUUGGGCACUGUCUCAACGAGAGACUCGGUGAAAUCAUAGUACCUGUGAAGAUGCAGGUUACCCGCGACAGGACGGAAAGACCCCGUGGAGCUUUACUGUAGCCUGAUAUUGAAAUUCGGCACAGCUUGUACAGGAUAGGUAGGAGCCUUUGAAACGUGAGCGCUAGCUUACGUGGAGGCGCUGGUGGGAUACUACCCUAGCUGUGUUGGCUUUCUAA